rnacentral:lncRNA from 1 species
UUUUUUUUUUUUUUUUUUUGUCGACACAGGGGUGUCCGGGUCAAUCUUUACUGGGCCCGACUAAUCCCUGCGGCCCGGGCCCGGCGCCCCAACCCGACCCGAACGCGAUAAGUGCGCGGAGGAACCCAGCGGAGCGGAGACUCGAACUUGGGACCUUAAGGGUCACCGUUGAGAGGCGCUACCGCUGGACCAUUCACGCAGGGGCGAUUUCCUAUAUUAACUUGUUCAUUUACAGGAUGAUCCCUGAUAGUUCUACUUGCGCCAGGGAAACUAUUUACUGUUUGUGUGGUAGUCAUUUGGUUAGACCAAAACUAUAUGCUUCCGUUCUUUUUCUUACAUUUAAAUCUACAGGCUAUUCACUAAUUUUUAUAUUUUGAAUCUUAUGUAUAAUUUCUUCUAAAUUUUUACUGUAAUCUUUAUCUAUUGGCUUUUUAACUUCUCUUAGACUUUUUAUUUCUUCUUCUAGCUUAUCAAUCCUCUAAUGUAACAAUACUAACAAUCCUAUUAUUGUAUUAUUUUGUUUAAGAUAUACUUAUUUUCACUAUUAAUUCCUAGAUAUUUAGUAAAUCCUUCAAGAUCUUGGUGAUAAUUUUGUGAAUAUCGAUAUGCUUCUUUAUAAUAUUUGUUUCCUUCUAAAUUCAUUAACCAAGAAACCAGAACCCCCAAAAUGGAAACAGACUUAAAUAUAUAUAUAUAUAUAUAUAUAUGUAUAGAAUAUAUAUUGCAAAAAAGAUGUAUGUUUAGUUUAAAUGUACAAAAACUUUUUGAAACAGUUGCAUCGAUAAUAGUCCUUGCACUACUUCUGAUUGACUCGAGUAAAUAAUAUCCAAAGCUAUGCUUGUAACCACUUAGCCAACUUUGGAAAUUAAGUGGUUCAUUGUAGACUUGUAGUUAAUUUGACAACUUAAGCUUAAGUUUAUUUACAAAACGAUAUUGCUUCCCCCUUUGCUUGACUCGUACUCUACGUUUCUUUGCCUAUUUCAAUAAAAAAAAUUCUCUGCCUCUUCCCAAAUAAUGGGCGUCAACUAGCUCGAGUUCAAUGAUUAAUUCUUUAGAUGUUUGCGCCCAAGCUUGGCCCAUUAAAAACUCACAAGUCUCGAGCUCACCGUCGGUUGUUUUAAAAUUGAUCAAUCUCCAAAACAAGUUCUAGCUAGUCCAAGCUCACUUAUUCCUCUCAAUUUUUUUCAUAUUCAAUCAAUUGAUUGACUAACCAAGUGGACUCUCAUAAUUUUACAUGACAUAUUAUAUAAGCUUCUACCAUGCUGCAAUCUUUAAUAGUGACAGAUAAGGUGCCCUAAUCAAAUAAAAAUAGCUAAAAUUUUAUUAUAGUUAAAGAAAAUAAAUUGAAUAAAAAAAUCUCAUGCAACUUGUAAUUAGAAAAGGAAAUAGUAAUUCUUAUAUGUAAUACCAUAAAUUGGAUUUCAUAUGCAAAGUUUGAGAAAAAAAAAAAGGGAAAGGUAGAUUCAAUAUUUAUAAGAAAUGUGCAAGUUUUAAAAUUUUGUAAACGGUGAAUGGGUUACUACUCUUUAAUGUGGUUGCAUUUGGAUUGAUGGAUUUUACGAAGGAUUUGAAAUUCUCUUAAAACCUUCUAAUUAUUUCAAUUAUUUAGGAGGUAUUUCAAUUUGUAAAUUACAAAUUAUUACAAUGUUUUAAAAUAUAUUUUAAUAAUUAGUGAAUUGUAGAUUUAAAUGCCUCUGAAAUAAUCCAAACAACUAAGAGCGAUUUGGAUAUAUUUCAAUUCCUUCAUCAAAUUUCUCAAUCCAAAAGAAGAAUUUAAAAGAAUUUAAAUUCCUUCAUAAAUUUAAAAGAAUUUAUGUUGCAAGCAAAAUCACGAAAUCGCCUUUAUGUGCAUAUAUUAACAGUCUUACAUGCACAAAAUUUUUUUGAGGGACAAGUGGGAUGUUUUGAAUCCAAGAUCUCCUAGUUAUAAUUCCUCCCAACUUACCAUCCAAUCCAACCUUCGCCUCUUACAUGCACACUUGAGUGUACAUACGUGCACAUAUAUAAAUUUAAAUAUGCACAUUUGAAUGUACACAUUUAUUUAUCAAAGUGCACAUUUCUAUUCAAUAAAGUGCAUAUUAUUAUGAGAGUAAUUUGAUUACUUUAAAUUUAUUAAUUAUUUUAAUUCAUGAAUAGUACCCAUAUCCGUUCACAAAAUUUUCAAUAUGUAGAUCCUUGUUAUCAACUUUGAAUCUUCCAAUUCUCUUUGUCCAAAAUUUCUUCAUUUUAGGCCAUAAUGAUUUGGUGGAAACAAGUGAUUUGGAAUGAUCAAUGCUUUGAUUAUGUACUUUGUUGGUGGACUUCUAGAGCGUUAGAUUAUUUGUUAUAGUAAUAUAUUGCUUACUGUGGGUACUAUCGUAAAAACCUCUAUAAAGUAGUACUUGACAAAUUAAUAACUUCUAUGAAAUAAUAAAAUUCACAAUCCCAACUUGAGCUAAUGCACUAAAUUAAUAAUUUUGAUAAAAUAAUAAGACAAUAAUUUUUUUGAAAAUGUUACAUAACCCUAUGGUCCCAAUCAUUUUAUAAAUUAAUAAUUCACUAAAAUUGCAUAUCAUAUUUUCCUAAUAUAUGAGUCGAUUGUUGUUUAUUUUUUCAGAAACCCAUUACUGUAAUUGUUUUUUGGUCCAUAUGAUAUAUUCUUGACUACACUCAUAUAGUACUUUACAUAUUUCAUUAUUCAUGAUUGAAUUAUGAACACCUUUUAAAUGGGAAGUCAUAGUUUAACAAUGAGAUAGGUAAGAAGAAUUUGUAGUUGUUUAUUAUAAAAAGACUUCCUUGUCAUUUAUAUAAAUAAUAUAUUAAUCUGAUUCAUUGUAUGUAUUUAAUAAAGGUUAAAUGCAAAAUGCACCUGUGAACUAUACUUGUUUAGUGACUUGCCCCCUAAACUAUCAAUUGUAGCGAUUUGUACUUAAAAUAAGGUGAUGUGAUGAAUUUGUUCUAAUUAAAUGACCAACUACCCAAAUUGCAGACAUCACUCCUUCCCUGCUCCUCUAAACCCACCGGUAACCUUCCUCCUCCUCCUUUUGCAAACCAUACUACCAAAUUGUUAUCCAUUCCAUCCUCUAUAUUAAACUCUCUAACAUGGAUUAUUCUUCACCUUUUCCACCCAAAUUAACCUCUUCAAGCCCUUGAUAUUACAAACCUAUCAUCACCUUCCUCCCUUGAGUGCCUUCUCUUUGAAUCUUCAUCAUUUAUCAAGUUCCAAAAUCACAACCCACUUCAAAAUUACCAACCUUCAUUGCUACUAGCCAAUCUCCCGACACUUUUUGAUUCAAGAGGCCCAAAUCCCAUCAUUGCUCAUCCUUUUAAUUUUUAUAAUCGUCUAUGUUGGGUGUUUUUAUUUUUAUUUGCUGCAUAUUGAAGUUGGACUUAGUGUGUGAUUGGUUCUACAUAUGAUAAGAUUGUGUUAUGGGUUUUGCUAUUUUAAUGUUGGCGUGGAUUUAUGAGGUGUACCUUCAAUUUUUUGCAUAGGUUACUGAUGGGUUUCUAGUAGGGCUGCAAAUGAGUCGAGUCGAGUCGAGUUUUGGCCUAAUCGAGCCGAGUCUCGAUAUAAUUUCAUUGAACUCGAACUCGAGCUCGAGCUCGACGAGCUGACAAUUUCAAGCUCGAGCUCGAGCUCGAAAAAAUAAAAAAUAAUUAUUUUAUUUUUUAAAAAAUAAAUAAAAUAAUAUUUUUUUAACAAAUAAUAAAAAUAUUAAGGAUAUAUAUGUAAUUUUACUAUUAAAAUUAAAAAAUAUAUAUACUUAAAAUAAAAAAUAUAAAAAUAUAUAUAUACUUAAAAUAAAAAAAAUAUAUAUAUAUAUAUUUAUAUAUAUAUAUAUAUACUCGAGCUCGCAAGCCGGCUCGCGAGCUAACGAACUUAAUAUUUUGAGCUCGAGUGGCUCGAUUCGUUUGCAGCCCUAGUUUCUAGCCUUGAUGCAAAGUUUUUAUUUUGCUCUAGUUUUAUUUAAUCUAGUCUUGACUUUUUCUUCUUCUAUUAUGGUGGUUCAAUGGUAGGUAUUUUGGUGCAACGAUAUUGGCAAGAGGUGUAAGAUUGUUCAUGGUUGAAUAAAAAAAAAGGACAAAAAAUAAGAUGAAAUGGAUUACUGAAAUGGGUAUUCUAGGUAACACAUUAUUUGUGGGGUUAUUGUUUUCCUUUCAAUAAAAAAUUACUUGUCACAUUCAUUUAAUUGGAGCAAUAUGCUGAAAAUUCAUAGUAUAAGACAGUAAAGUGCUAAAAUUGAUAGUGUAGGGGACAAGUUGCUAAUUGAACAUAGUUCAAGGGCACGGGAGGUGUAUAUAUAGGUUAUUAAUUUAUAGAGGUUCCAAAGUUUUAAUUUAUAGUGAUUUUACUCUAUACUUAAAUUAUCUGCUAGGUUCAAAAUUUAGUGACCUAUGGAGCGCUCUUAGAAAACCUCUUUGCAAGUAGUUAGAGGGGUUCAAAUCUUAGACUUAGUAGUUGACAAUGGGCAUGAUAUCGGCAAUCAGGUUAAAAUAUUAUUGAGGAAAUAGUUAUUUGGACUUCUUAUACGUCACAAUGCUAAUGUAUUUGUAAGUCUAAUUUCUAUAUCUUUUUAUUUUUUUGACCAGUACAGUAGGGUUAUGUGACAUUGUGUAUCUAAUAUACUGCCUUUUUUCUUAUAAGUAUAUGAUUCAAUAGAAUUAUGAUUAAAUACUAAUUUUGUUGCAUCAGUGUAAAUGGGUCAGUCAAAGUGCAAAUAGAACCAUUAACAGGCCCAUGUACACCCCUACCUAUCACUACUGUAUAAAAAUUCAUUUUCUAGCUUCUUGAGCAGUCCAACUAAUACAUUCCUUAAAAUGACAGUAUGAAUGUAUCAUGCAAGCCAUCAACGGUUACAUGGGAAAGCAUCCCACAAAAACUUUAGCAGGGCAAGAACUACUAAGCUACUGCAUAUUUCCAGAACGGAUGAUUAUUGGCAGAGUCUCAUGGCGAAGAACAGCUUCAUUCGACUUUUUAUUUCUUUCUGCUGCAUUUUACUUUGUCCUUUUUUUUUUUCUAGUUGCAAACAGGAGAGGUUUUUGAAUUUAGGAUUUCUGAAACAAAACUUCAUAUAUAUCUCAACAAUGAAAAGCAUUUCAGAAGGUCUAGUAAUGCUUUAGGAAGCCACUGUGGUUCUCAAUACGUCUGAAUAAUGCCUAUGAUAUGGGGAGAUAUGAAAUGAAACAUACACCACACAUCUCCAAUAGGAAUGGUUUAUCAGUAUUGUUAAAGGUGGAACAACACGAAUGCAAUUUAAGAUGAAUACAAAAUAUAUGAGAUUAUGGCUUGAUUCUCAUUGGUAAUGAUCAUAUUGUCUUUCCUUCAGCUGACUAUUGAUUAAUUAGUGCUGAAAUUUUCUCUAUUUAAACAUGAAAAACCAUUUGUAGUCCUGCAGAACUUGUUAGCAGGAAAAAAACAAACGACCAAAAGAAUUGCUUUCAAGGAAAAGCAGGAGAAUAACAAGAAUAAAGGAGAAAGGGUCGUGACCCUAAAAUUGCAUUUUAUAAACAAAACCAUAAAUAAGAUAAUAUGCACAAACAGAAAUUUCCAGUUGCUCCACAGACAAUUUACAAUUGUAAAUAUCACUAUAUACGCCAGAAUUAAAGACAAGAUGUCAAUCAAUGUUUCAACCAUCUCUUUCUCCACUUUUCAGUCCCUCGUUUUCUUCUUUUCUAGGACUUCUUCCACGGAGCAACACGCCCAUAGUUCGGCUAGUUGAAC